rnacentral:rRNA from 1 species
GGAGGAAAGCAGGGGAUCGCAAGACCUCAUGCUCGUGGAGCGGCCGAUAUCUGAUUAGCUAGUUGGUAGGGUAAAAGCCUACCAAGGCAUCGAUCAGUAGCUGGUCUGAGAGGACGACCAGCCACACUGGAACUGAGACACGGUCCAGACUCCUACGGGAGGCAGCAGUGGGGAAUUUUGGACAAUGGGCGAAAGCCUGAUCCAGCAAUGCCGCGUGAGUGAAGAAGGCCUUCGGGUUGUAAAGCUCUUUUGUCAGGGAAGAAACGGUGAGAGCUAAUAUCUCUUGCUAAUGACGGUACCUGAAGAAUAAGCACCGGCUAACUACGUGCCAGCAGCCGCGGUAAUACGUAGGGUGCAAGCGUUAAUCGGAAUUACUGGGCGUAAAGCGUGCGCAGGCGGUUUUGUAAGUCUGAUGUGAAAUCCCCGGGCUCAACCUGGGAAUUGCGUUUGAAACUACAAAGCUAG